CUGAUUGUAAUCUUAAGGUGAGGAUAUAGAAAAAGAGCACCGCAUGGGCAACCAGACACGUGGUUCUUCAUUCCCACCGCCUGCCCCAUCCCCACCACCAUCCUUGACUAGCUAUGUGGUCCCAGGAAUAAUGGAGGCAGCAUCAAAUCCAGGUCUUCCUGAUUCCCAGUUCGUACUACUGGAAGAAGACCCAAGUUAAAGACACUAUCUUGGAUCUUUCAUGGAAAGCAGGGCCAGGACCAGGGUGAGGCAAGAGAACUUGGCUGAUACAGGACCUUAAAAUCACUAUCAUCUAAGCAAUGAGAAGCAAGCACCUAACAGCUCACCCUGAUGGAAAAGCCCAGUGUAGUGGGAGGUGAACUUCACAAUGGCUGAAUGCACCUCUAAAGACAAACUGCCAACAUUCAAUCCUAGCUCAGCUGCUGACUAUGUUAUGUGACCUUGGGAAACUUUCUUUUUAAAUUUUCCUAUUGAUAUAUAAUAAUUGUACACAUUAAUGGGGUACAUGUGAUACUUUGGUGUAUGCAUACAAUGUGUAAUGAUCAAAUCAGUGUAAUUACAAUAGUCAUCACCUCAAAUAUUUGUCAUUUCUUUGUGUUGGGAAUGUUUCAGAUCUUCUCUUCUAGUUAUUUUGAAAUGUAUGAUUAAUUUCUAUUAACUAUAGUCACCCCACUGUACUAAAUGAAGGAAAGCCAUCUCUCUUGGGCUGUGCAUUUAACCCUCUCCAAUAAUAGUUAUAAAGAUGCAACAAAAUAAUGUUGGAUUGGGAAACAGUAACAAUUCCCAUUCCUUUUCAACUCUCUCAGCUUCAUCACAGGACAAAAAAAAAAAAAAAAUCCAUUGCAUUGAUUUUUAUUGCUAAGCCAAAACACUUAAUCUUAUUAGUGGAUAAGGCAGCCUGCAGAAGACCUUGUGUCUCCAGGCCACUGGGCUAAGAGUAGAGUUCUCAAACUCUUAAUUUCUUUAUGCACAAGGGAGUUUCAGUUCAAAGUUGCUUUCCUUCCUCCUUCUCCUCCCCCUUCUCCUCCUCCUUCCCCUCCUCCUUCUCCUCCUCCUUCUCCUCUUCCUCCUUCUCAACUUCCUCCUCCUCCUCCUUCCCCCUCCUCCUUCCUCCUCCCCUUCUUCUUCUUCUUCUUCUCUCGCUCUCUCCCUCUCUGUCUCUCUCCAUUGUCACUUCUUUAAAUACAGCUUUCUGGCCUUUUCUCUCCUCUUAAGACUUGCUUAUGUGACCCUUACACUCUAUUAUUACCAACAAUUAAUAUUUAUUGGCACAAAAUGAUGAUAGGUUGUACAGAGCAGAGUAAUUCCAGAGAAAGCCUUCCUUCCCUCAAAUCCUAAUUCUUCCUCCAUCCAAUCUGCUCUUCUCAUAUGCUGAAUCAUAGUCUAGUGAUAUAGUGACACUAUUAAUAUUCUGUUACAUUUAUACAGCUGAGGAAAUCAGAGAGCCAAGGUUAGAGAAGUUUGAAAGGUCAUAUAGUCCAGAAACUGUGCUACUUUCUACAUACAAUUCCACUUUUAUCUGUGAUAGAGAUUGCAAACUGCUGGGCUGAAAGAGAAAUCCAGACAUCAUAUCAGGAGUUUAAAACCCAAGUUUUAAAAAUCAAUAAACUUUCCAUUUUUUAAAUUCACUUUCAAAUUUCUCUUGGAAAAAAAAAAAAAGAUUUCUUGCAACACAUGGCAUCUCUUGGUUAGAGCUGAGAGGUCAUUGCUCCUAUAGAGCAUGACCCACCCUUCCCUAUUGAAUUAUCCUGAGUCCAUAUCACUCAUUUGCUUGGCUCCUGAUGUUUGAAUCUUCCACAACAGUCCCCAAGAAACCAUGUAUCUACAAUUGAGCACUCCCGGGGAAAGGGAACUCACCAACUCCAAAGACAACCCAUCCCCUCUUUGAACAGUUUCUUCCAGAGCUCUUUCUUAAACUCUAAAAGCCAAGGCAUCCAUCUCCUUAACACUAAACAAAAGAAGAGAUUUCUUCACUGAAUUUUUUCCAAAGUAAGCAUCCCCAGUGCCUCCUCUAAUUUGGUUUCUGUUUCCUUCACCACCUUGGUUUUCAUUUUCUGGGCAUGCUUUAUUCUAUUUCUAUUUCUUUUAGAGGAUAAAAUCCAGAAAUAAAGGUUUCUUCCUGCUAGAUUCAGCUCAUCCCUCUAUCUUCUAGAAUGUUAUCAUGUACUAAUUGAAGAAGAGCUUACUAAGUGCCUACCAGGUGGCAGGCUCUGUGCCAGGCACCAGCAUCACUUUGGCAAGCAGCACAAGCUAAGUGCCCGCCCUCCUGGAGCUCGGAUUCCAGAGGGAGACAUGUUGCCCAGCAAUCUCUCAGAGAGAUGGAAACUUGCACUGUCAUGCGUGCAAAAUAAAUUCAAGAUUGAUUCAAGAUGUGAGACAUAAAAAAUGAAAUUGUAGCAAAUCUAAAAAAAAGGUAAAUAAUUUGAUUAUCUUGGAGACAAGGCCUUUCUAAUAUCAAUAGAAAACCUAGAAGCUAUAAAAGAAAAAAAUGAAUAAAUCUAACUACAUCAAAUUUUAACAUUUUUGGAGCCUAAAAGCAUCAUAAAUGAACUCAAAAGGCAAAUCUGUGAAAAUAUUUGCAAUACAAAUGACAGACAAAGGACUGAUUUUCCUAAUGUACAAGUUACUGUUACAAAUCAAUCAACAAAGCACAUAAAAAAUUUACAAAAGAAAUAUAAAUGAUGCAAACAAAUGAGAUGAUUCUGAAGUUCUUUAAUAAUCAAAGAAAUACAAACUAAAAUAAUGAGGUAAUUUCCAAGUAAAUAUUGGCCAUGAAAUUUUAAAACAAAUGCUCCCAAGUGCUGUCAGAUCAUAGGGUAUCCAGCAUUUUCAUUCACUGCAAAUUGAAACAGCCCUUCUGGAGAGAAUUCCAUUAUUAGCUUAUUUUAAAUGUCCUGAAUUUCAUAAAUAUAUACUAAUAUUAUCUGUGAAUUAUAAAUAAAGCUUUAAAAUAAAAUAAAUGUUCUGAUUCUGC
rnacentral:lncRNA from 10 species